GGGUGUCGCGGGGGUGGUCCCGCGACAGGAUCGUUUGGUUGGUCGGGCCGCCAGCC
rnacentral:ncRNA from 1 species